CCGGGGCUAAACGUAUCACCGAAGCUGCGGACUGUUCUUCGAACAGUGGUAGGAGAGCGUUCUAAGGGCUGUGAAGCAAGACCGGAAGGACUUGUGGAGCGCUUAGAAGUGAGAAUGCCGGUAUGAGUAGCGAAAGAGGGGUGAGAAUCCCCUCCACCGAAUGCCUAAGGUUUCCUGAGGAAGGCUCGUCCGCUCCGGGUUAGUCGGGACCUAAGCCGAGGCCGAAAGGCGUAGGCGAUGGAUAACAGGUUGAUAUUCCUGUACCACCUCCUCACCAUUUGAGCAAUGGGGGGACGCAGGA
rnacentral:rRNA from 1 species